rnacentral:rRNA from 1 species
GAUCAUGGCUCAGGACGAACGCUGGCGGCGUGCCUAACACAUGCAAGUCGAGCGGGGAACGGACGGUAGCUUGCUACUGUUUGUUUCUAGCGGCGGACGGGUGAGUAACGCGUGAGCAACCUGCCUUUAUCAGGGGGAUAACGCAUCGAAAGAUGUGCUAAUACCGCGUAAGACCACAGCUUCACAUGGAGCGGGGGUCAAAGGAGCAAUCCGGAUAAAGAUGGGCUCGCGUCCGAUUAG